rnacentral:rRNA from 1 species
AGAGUUUGAUCCUGGCUCAGGACGAACGCUGGCGGCGUGCCUAAUACAUGCAAGUCGAGCGGACCAACGAGGAGCUUGCUCCUCAGAGGUCAGCGGCGGACGGGUGAGUAACACGUGGGCAACCUGCCUGUAAGACUGGGAUAACUCCGGGAAACCGGGGCUAAUACCGGAUAACAUCUUCCUCUGCAUAGAGGAGGAUUGAAAGAUUGCUUCUCGCUAUCACUUACAGAUGGGCCCGCGGCGCAUUAGCUAGUUGGUGGGGUAAGGGCUCACCAAGGCGACGAUGCGUAGCCGACCUGAGAGGGUGAUCGGCCACACUGGGACUGAGACACGGCCCAGACUCCUACGGGAGGCAGCAGUAGGGAAUCUUCGGCAAUGGACGAAAGUCUGACCGAGCAACGCCGCGUGAGUGAGGAAGGCCUUCGGGUCGUAAAGCUCUGUUGUUAGGGGAGAACAAGUACCGUUCGAACAGGGCGGUACCUUGACGGUACUUAACCAGAAAGCCACGGCUAACUACGUGCCAGCAGCCGCGGUAAUACGUAGGUGGCAAGCGUUGUCCGGAAUUAUUGGGCGUAAAGCGCGCGCAGGCGGUCUCUUAAGUCUGAUGUGAAAGCCCACGGCUCAACCGUGGAGGGUCAUUGGAAACUGGGGGACUUGAGUACUGGAGAGGAGAGUGGAAUUCCAUGUGUAGCGGUGAAAUGCGUAGAUAUAUGGAGGAUCACCAGUGGCGAAGGCGGCUCUCUGGCCAGUAACUGACGCUGAGGCGCGAAAGCGUGGGGAGCAAACAGGAUUAGAUACCCUGGUAGUCCACGCCGUAAACGAUGAGUGCUAGGUGUUGGGGGGUUCCACCCUCAGUGCUGACGUUAACACAUUAAGCACUCCGCCUGGGGAGU